GCCGCUUGGGUCCGCCCCGAGCUCACACGGGCGGCGUCAGGGCGCCUGAGGCUCGGCGGGGCCGCGGCCUUGAGGUUCUCCUUAUUAAUACCCACCAGGCGUCGCGGCGCUCGGCGGGCGGGACUUUGCGCGUCCUCCUUCUCCAACUUCGGCCCUCUUUCCCCGCCAGCUGGGGUUGCUGGCUUCUCUCGGUCCAUCGUUGACUGGGAGAGGCCACGAUCCUGGUGCCAGGUUCGGCGGUGCCAGUGGCCAAGCACCCGGACGACCUGCUGGCACAGAAUCAAAUGGUGAAUGAAGGCUAAGUAACCACCGUGCGCCCGGAAUCGUUCGACUCAAGGAAUAACAAGGAGAAUUAUUCUCCUUCUUCCACUUCACUUGCCAGGCCGUGGCCAUGGAAAGAUGAAUAAAUCAUCAACCGUGCGCUCAAGUUGCUCACAGUAUAAAUGGGAGACAGAGAUAGAUCCACCUCUGGAGUACAGAGCAGAUGCUGUACUUUUCUUAUUCUCAAAACCUGAUUCCUGGCUCACCCCCACCCCACCUCCACCUUCCCAGAAAUGAUUGGAAAUACAGGUGUACAACCAACUCAGAAGCUUUUUUUUUUAAGUUCAGUACAUGAAACCUCCAACCUCAUCUGGCCAUUCACCAUUCCAGACAUUUUGGUAGGUGUUAA